UUUUAAGAUUUGGGAAAAGGUUAGGGUUUCCAAUUUACCAAAUCACAAAGCCUUCCCAUUUCUACUCUUCUGAAUUCAUUUGAGUGAGACUUUCAGAGACUGGCCGAGAGAGUGAGACCAUCUGCUCGUGCUCGUGCUCGUGCUCGUGCUCGUCCUUGUCCUCCUCCUCGUCCUCAUCCUCAUCCAACAACUCCAACGGUCCGGCCACCGCUUCAAGGCUGCAACUCUGAAUCUCAACUCUCCUAUCAACUGUGUCUCUGUCUGCAGACUCUGCACAAUUAACAAAGGGGGAAAAAUGCUUAGAGAAAGUCCACCGUUGCAAGCCAUACUUCAACGUUGAGAGAGAGUUUCUGCUCUGGAUUUGCUCAAGCUUGUUUGGGGGAAUACACCAACUACUUAGGUGGGCUAAGAUCCUUGUGGUGAUGGUUGGGUUGGAAUUAUCUGCUCUGAUUCUUGAGUGAUCUCCAUAACAUUAUCAAGCAUUGGACUGAAAGGUCAGUUGCCUGGACACAUCAAGUCCUUCUCUGAGUUACAGACAUUAUCUACGUAUACAUGGAUACCGAGAAUGAACACGAUGAUGCCUACUAUCAGAAACGCAAGAAAGUAAUUAUCUUAGCGGCUACUGCUGUUGUUAUCGCAGUGGAACACUAUAGAAAACAUUAUCUCGGUAAAGAGUCUUACCGCAGUGUAUCCACCAUCACAGCUCGAAACCAGAUAAGAAUGGGCAAGAGGGCAUGCUCAGCUGUUACAAGUGGUAGGAAGAAGAGAAGAAAGGUGGAAACUGAUAAGGUAUCAAAUCUUUUAAAAGCAAUAGCAACCGUAAUCAGUCAACUAGUCAGUGAACUAGUUAAUGAUUCGCCAUAUGAUCUUGCCAAGAGACUGUGUGUUGCAAUUGAUGCAAUCCCAGGACUUGAUUUCAACAAGAGAUUGCGUGCCAAAGUUUUUUUUAUGAAAAGGAAGAAUUUAGCUCGUCUCUUCUUGAAUGCAAGUGAGGAAGACAAGCCAAAGGUAUUGGAAUUGUGUAUGUCUGAUAGCAAAGACAUCAUUAAGGACUUUUGAACAAGUCAUGGACAUGCUAACCUUUUUUUGUGGAUCAUAUGUUUGGAUAUUUGACGGUAUCAUGUAGUUGUUUUCUUUAGUUUGGACAUGAUUAUAUAUAUAUAUAUAUAUAUAGUUGACUUGAUUACAUAAUU